GGAUAACCCUGGCGGCGUGCCUUAAUACAUGCAAUCUCGAGCGAAACUGAAUUAGAAGCUUGCUUCUAUGACGUUAGCGGCGGACGGGUGAGUAACACGUGGGCAACCUGCCUGUAAGACUGGGAUAACUUCGGGAAACCGAAGCUAAUACCGGAUAGGAUCUUCUCCUUCAUGGGAGAUGAUUGAAAGAUGGUUUCGGCUAUCACUUACAGAUGGGCCCGCGGUGCAUUAGCUAGUUGGUGAGGUAACGGCUCACCAAGGCAACGAUGCAUAGCCGACCUGAGAGGGUGAUCGGCCACACUGGGCACUGAGACACGGCCCAGACUCCUACGGGAGGCAGCAGUAGGGAAUCUUCCGCAAUGGACGAAAGUCUGACGGAGCAACGCCGCGUUGAGUGAUGAAGGCUUUCGGGUCGUAAAACUCUGUUGUUAGGGAAGAACAAGUACAAGAGUAACUGCUUGUACCUUGGAGGGUACCGUAACCAGAAAGCCACGGCUAACUACGUGCCCAAAACCGCGGAUAAUACAUUAGGUGGCAAAGCGGUUAUUCCGGCAAUUAUGUGCGCCGUAAAGCCGCGGCGCCACGCCGGUUUUCCUUAAUGUCUGGAUUGUAAAAACCCCAAGGCUCAAACCCGUGGGAGGGUUCAUUUGGUAAAAGUGGGGGGAACCUUGAAGUCGCAAAAGGAGAAAA
rnacentral:rRNA from 1 species